CGGGAGGUACAGCUACUGAAUCAUAUAAGUGUCUUAUGUGAUGUCGUAAGGGAGAAUGAUGAUAUUACCUUACUAAUAGUGUCGUCUAAAACUGGUGCCAGAAGACUCGGUAAGGCCAGAGACACAAAUGUUAAUCGUCUUAAACAGGCGUAAAGGGUUUGUAGGCUGCUUUGAAAGUAUUGAUUUAAUAGCCGAAGUAAAUUAAAGAAUAUUAAGUUUUUAAUAUUUAAUUUUUAAUUUUAGUUUUUAGCAUUAAUUUGUUAAAAGUUUAAUUUAUUUAAAAAAAAUAAUAGAAUAUAAUUAUUUAAAAUAAUCAAUAAAUUGAAUAUAAUAAUUAAAAAGUUUACUUUUUAGUAGAUCAAUAUGAAUUAAAGCUAGAAUCUAAUAGAGGAUAUUUACGAAACAAUGCUUGGUCGAGGGCUGAUAUCCUAAGACACCAAGUGGAGUUCUAACGGCGUAAGCAUUUAUCCAUUAAAGAUUGACGCUGAGAAACGAAGGUGAGGAUAGGAAAUAGGAUUAGAUACCCAGAUACCCCUCUCUGUCAACGAUGAAUGGUAGUUUGUUAGUCAAAUAAGAGACUAGUGACGAAGUUAACACGAUAACCAUUCCGCCUUGUGAGUACGACUGCAAAGUUGAAAACAAAAAAAUUAGUCGGUCUCGACAAGUCAA
rnacentral:rRNA from 1 species